rnacentral:rRNA from 1 species
UGGGGAAUAUUGCACAAUGGGGGAAACCCUGAUGCAGCGACGCCGCGUGAGUGAAGAAGUACCUCGGUAUGUAAAGCUCUGUCAGCAGGGAAGAAAGAAAUGACGGUACCUGACCAAGAAGCACCGGCUAAAUACGUGCC